GAGAAGUAAAAAUAUUAAUCAACGUUGGAAUGAAAAGUUAAAACCAGAAUUAACUGCAAAUAACAUGUUGGAAAGCAUCUAAAUAUUUAGUGAUAAUUAUAACGACUAUCAUGUCAAUGUAAAGUCCAACAUGCUGACAUAGAUUGAGGAAAUGAAUGUUAAAAGGAAGGAGAAUGGAAAUGGCCUAGAAUCUUUUGAAAAUGUUAGGAAUUGAGUUGCAGAAGUCAGAAAUGACUUCCUGCCUUAAGUGAACUGGAAAUCGUUUCAGCAAUAAUAGGUGAAAAAUUUCUCUUGACAAGUAUUUUAUAUUUAAAUUAUAUAACAAAAAAAAAUACUGAUAAUAUAAAAGAAUCCAAUAACUAAGCUGAUAAUCUGUACAAAAAAAUACUGACAAAGUAUAAAAGUAAGCAAAAAUUUAAACUACUGACUGUUCUGUCAAGUAAUCAAAGUCUUUUAAAAGAAUGGCAGAUACUUGGAAAUAAAAAGACAUUUUCGAGAAGUUUAAAUAGCACCUUAAGUGUAGCUUAUGUACUUGAUAUGAGAACUUUCGUUAAAGGACAAAGGAAUUGAAGAGCAGUGUAUAAGGAAAUGUAUGCACUGGAGAAACAAAAGUGGAAAAAAUACUUUGAAGUUUAAUAGAGAACUGGGAGUGAAGGCUAUCAGAGAAAUAGUAAAGGUAUAUGCUGGAGUUAAAGUUGGAGUAGUGACCUGAAACAAAGUAUUUAUGUUGAUACAUGAAACAUCUAUUUGAAAAGAUUGAUUGAAAAAGUUUCUUCUUCGACAUGUUUUACACAAUUCCACGAAUAACUGAUGCAAAAAGAACUAUAUAACAUAAAAAUACAUUGGGUUAUCAAUAAAAUAAUCUAUGAAUUAAAAAAAAUUUUUCAAGCAACUGAAGGAAGAACUUGGAACCCAUUACAAUCGUCACAGUUACAUCGUCUCAUUAGAUAUGUAUUUAUACAGACGUGCAAAUGAAUUGUCUGACUGUAAAUCGAUCGUCGUCGUGCAAGAUGCUCCGUUUUUCAUGUCUACAUAUUAUCGACCAAUGUGGUGUCCGAGCUCAAGAAACUUAAUUCUCAUUCAUCAGCAAAGACGCUUUAUAAGUUCCCUUAACCACAAGAGGUCGGAGUCCGACCUGUUGACCUCAAUUUUGGUGCUAACAGAUUUGCAUACAUAGGGUGGCAAACAAAACAUUCGUGUGGUGAUUUUCUACGCGUGAGGAUAUCAUACAAUUUUAUUUCUUUACACAUAGUACCACUACGCCCCAAGACACACGAAUAGUAUAUUAGGUAAUAUACCGUAUGAUUGAAAUUUCUUAGUGGGUUUAUAGAAGUAUAAAAUGUAGCAAGAGAAUAUCUAAAAUGCAUUAAGUCACUUAAAGAAAGUGGAUGGAAAUUCGUUUUAAAGAUUAUGAAAUCAACGCGAUUAUGGAUAAAACAUUUUAUUACGUUCCACAAUUAUUAUGUUGAAAUUUAUUAACCAGCACCUUUUAUCAUUCAUGACAUUACUCUACAAAGGUGUAUUUCAGGUCACAAGCUAAUCUUUAGAUUCAAAAUUAAGACAACUUUUCGUCCGCAUUGAAUCGAUACUUUCAGUUUAUUUUAAUCGGAACCUAAUGUUUAUAAAUCACGUCAAUUCAAUGGCCCAGAUUUACUUUAAGUAAUCACUAAUAAUGGGUGCAGUCAAUUUCAAUUUUUACUAGUGUAAGCUUGUUAUUUACUACUAGGUGUGUACCCACGUGGAUGAAUAUAAUAGUAUCGUUGAAGGAAAGUGAUUUGCUGAUGUUCGAAAUUUUUUGCAAUUCAACUCUUUCAUUUUUUUU